GGGUGAUGACCAUGGUAACACCCGGGUGGGAGUUCGUGACAUCUCCGGCGCGGAGGGACUCGAUGUCUAUGGCAAUGGUCGCCUGGUGGAAGGGACGGAACUAGAUCCCUUCGCUCGGGACGCUCACAUUCCAGGCCCUUGUCCUGCAGGCUGCCGCGGGCGGACACGCCAGAGGAGGAGGCCGGGGAAUGGCCGCGGUGUGGCAGCAAGUCUUAGCAGUGGACGCGAGGUGAGGCGUGGGGUCAACGCCCAUGGGAGCAGAACUUACUGUGGUGCAUGCGCAAUGGCGAUAAGUGAGGCUGGGCGGAGAACUUGCCUUAUGCGGCUGCGUGGGCAUGCCGGAGGUGAGCAUGCGCAGUAGCGGGGGCGGGCACGCCCGCGGUGAGUUGGCUGGGCCGGAGAGGAUUCUAAACAGCAAGCUGGGAAAAUGUGGUCAGAUGUGGGCAUGCGCAAAGCGGCUACCUGUGAGAGGGAGGUGGGGCUCAGGCAGGUGACAUCCUAUCCCCUAUGGGUGUCCCCUAGACUUUUUUUUUUUUACAUCAUCACUUCCCCAUUCUGACCCCAUCACCUCCCAACGCUGACCCCCAUAAUGUCAGUCUGACUUCUGUCGCCCUGGUAUACUGACCCUAAUUAUUGUCUGCGCUGACCCAGUCACCCCGUAGGGACCCCAGCACGGCAGCAGACUGACUCUGUUGUCUGCAAACUGACCUCAUGACCAUGCUCAUUAUUACUGCAGACUCACUCCCACCACAGGACCAAGAGGUCCCUCAUCACCACUGCUAGUCAUUCUUACCACCUAGGCCCCAGUCACUGCCACACACCUCACUCUUCUGCCGUACCCCCCCCCCCCGAGCUGAUUGAUUCCCUCUGUCCUGUGCCUGCUGCCUGCCCUGCAUCCUGACCCUGCAGGUACAACGCGUACCGCACACCAACGUUUCCACAGUUUCGGACGCAGUAUAUCCGCCGGCGCAGCCAGCUGCUGCGGGAGAAUGCCAAGGCUGGGCACCCCCCAGCGCUGCGUCGGCAGUACCUGAGGCUUCGGGGGCAGCUGCUGGGCCAGCGCUACGGGCCCCUCUCCGAGCCAGGCAGUGCUCGUGCCUAUAGCAACAGCAUCGUCCGCAGUAGCCGCACUACUCUUGACCGCAUGGAGGACUUUGAGGAUGAUCCUCGGGCCCUGGGGGCCCGUGGGCACCGUCGUUCUGUCAGCAGAGGCUCCUACCAGCUGCAGGCGCAGAUGAACCGUGCCGUCUAUGAGGACAGGCCCCCUGGCAGCGUGGUGCCCACGUCAGCAGCAGAGGCAAGUCGGGCCAUGGCCGGGGACACGUCACUGAGCGAGAACUAUGCCUUUGCGGGCAUGUAUCAUGUUUUUGACCAGCACGUGGAUGAGGCAGUCCCAAGGGUGCGCUUCGCCAAUGAUGACCGACACCGCCUGGCCUGCUGCUCACUCGACGGCAGCAUCUCCCUGUGCCAGCUGGUGCCUGCCCCACCCACAGUGCUUCGCGUGCUACGGGGCCACACCCGUGGUGUCUCCGACUUCGCCUGGUCCCUCUCCAAUGACAUCCUCGUGUCCACCUCACUGGAUGCCACCAUGCGCAUCUGGGCCUCUGAGGAUGGUCGCUGCAUCCGGGAGAUCCCUGACCCCGAUAGCGCUGAACUGCUCUGCUGCACCUUCCAGCCUGUCAACAACAACCUCACUGUGGUGGGGAACGCCAAGCACAACGUGCAUGUCAUGAACAUCUCCACAGGCAAGAAAGUGAAGGGGGGCUCCAGCAAGCUGACAGGCCGUGUCCUUGCUCUGUCCUUUGAUGCCCCUGGCCGGCUGCUCUGGGCGGGUGAUGACCGUGGCAGUGUCUUCUCUUUCCUCUUCGAUAUGGCCACAGGGAAGCUGACCAAAGCCAAGCGUUUGGUGGUGCAUGAGGGGAGCCCUGUGACCAGCAUCUCAGCCCGGUCCUGGGUCAGCCGCGAGGCCCGGGAUCCCUCACUGCUCAUCAAUGCUUGCCUCAACAAGUUGCUGCUCUACAGGGUGGUAGACAACGAGGGGACCCUGCAGCUGAAGAGAAGCUUCCCCAUCGAGCAGAGCUCACAUCCUGUGCGCAGCAUCUUCUGUCCCCUCAUGUCCUUCCGCCAGGGGGCCUGCGUGGUGACGGGCAGUGAGGACAUGUGCGUGCACUUCUUUGAUGUGGAGCGGGCGGCCAAGGCUGCUGUCAACAAGCUGCAGGGCCACAGUGCACCUGUGCUUGAUGUCAGCUUCAACUGCGACGAGAGCCUACUGGCCUCCAGUGACGCCAGCGGCAUGGUCAUCGUCUGGAGGCGGGAGCAGAAGUAGGGUCCUGUCGGCCCUGCUGCUGUCCUCCAUCCCACUGCUCUUACUCCAGCCUCGUGUUGUAAAUAAAGUUUCGGUGGUCAUGCUGAGGGCCGGCUCCCAGCUCUGCCGGGGACGGACAGGGCAGAGGGCAGCGGGCAGCUCCAGGAACACGGUGGAACGGG
rnacentral:sRNA from 1 species